AAAGUCCUUGUUGGGUAAGGUCUAGCCAACUACCCAUACCAAGUGUUGCAUCAAAAUGGGUAACCAUUAGAUGACCUGUCUGCUGCAGGCAGGAGCGUACACAGGGAAACAGAUAGGUAAAAGUGAACUAUACAGCCUCGUAAAUAAAGAUUAAUGCAGAUGGCGACGUCGUUUUCGCAACGGAAGCCUAUACAAAAGAGUCGCAUAUGGCGAGAUUCUAAAGAGGGUCUGUCGGGGUCUUGGCACA
rfam:Candidatus Atribacteria bacterium CG2_30_33_13 cg2_3.0_scaffold_12378_c, whole genome shotgun sequence.